AUGAGGCUGUGGCUGAAUUGGAUUUUCUUUGUUGUUCUUUUAAAAGGUGUUCAUUGUGAGGUGCAGCUCGUUGAGUCUGGGGGAGGAUUGGUGCAACCUGGGGGUUCACUGAAGCUCUCCUGUGCAGCCUCUGGAUUCACCUUCAGUAGUCCUGCCAUGUACUGGUUCAGACAGGCUCCAGGGAAAGGCCUGGAAUGGAUUGCUCGCAUAAGAACUAAAACUAAUAAUUAUGCAACAUAUUAUGCAGAUUCAGUGAAAGACCGAUUUGUUGUCUCCAGAGAUGAUUCCCAAAGCAUGGUCCACCUGCAAAUGAACAGGCUGAGAACCGAGGAUACAGCCAUAUAUUACUGUAUGAGACACAGUGAGGAGUGUUCAAUGUGA